rnacentral:rRNA from 1 species
AGUGAACGCUGGCGGUAGGCCUAACACAUGCAAGUCGAACGGCAGCACAGUAAGAGCUUGCUCUUACGGGUGGCGAGUGGCGGACGGGUGAGGAAUACAUCGGAAUCUACUUUUUCGUGGGGGAUAACGUAGGGAAACUUACGCUAAUACCGCAUACGCCCUACGGGUGAAAGCAGGGGAUCUUCGCACCUUGCGCGAUUGAAUUAGCCGAUGUCGGAUUAGCUAGUUGGGGGGGUAAAGGCCCACCCAGGCGACGAUCCGUAGCUGGUCUGAGAGGAUGAUCAGCCACACUGGAACUGAGACACGGUCCAGACUCCUACGGGAGGCAGCAGUGGGGAAUAUUGGACAAUGGGCGCAAGCCUGAUCCAGCCAUACCGCGUGGGUGAAGAAGGCCUUCGGGUUGUAAAGCCCUUUUGUUGGGAAAGAAAAGCAGCAGGUUAAUACCCCGCGGUUCUGACGGUACCCAAAGAAUAAGCACCGGCUAACUUCGUG